rnacentral:rRNA from 1 species
AGUGAACGCUGGCGGUAGGCCUAACACAUGCAAGUCGAACGGCAGCACAGUAAGAGCUUGCUCUUACGGGUGGCGAGUGGCGGACGGGUGAGGCAUACAUCGGAAUCUACUUUUUCGUGGGGGAUAACGUAGGGAAACUUACGCUAAUACCGCAUACGACCUACGGGUGAAAGCAGGGGAUCUUCGGACCUUGCGCGAUUGAAUGAGCCGAUGUCGGAUUAGCUAGUUGGCGGGGUAAAGGCCCACCAAGGCGACGAUCCGUAGCUGGGCUGAGAGGAUGAUCAGCCACACUGGAACUGAGACACGGUCCAGACUCCUACGGGAGGCAGCAGUGGGGAAUAUUGGACAAUGGGCGCAAGCCUGAUCCAGCCAUACCGCGUGGGUGAAGAAGGUCUUCGGGUUGUAAAGCCCUUUUGUUGGGAAAGAAAAGCAGCAGGUUAAUACCCCGCUGUUCUGACGGUACCCAAAGAAUAAGCACCGGCUAACUUCGUG